rnacentral:lncRNA from 13 species
AUGUGUACCAAUACAUAUAAAUUGAGAUCAAAAUACUAUGUUGACCUCUGAAUUCCCAGAAAUAAAGAUGUAUUUUCUUAUGAUAGAAAUUCAACAAAUGGCUGGAUGCAGUGGCUCAUACCUGUAAUCUCAGCACUUUGGGAGGCUGAAGCGGGUGGAUCACUUGAAGUCAGAAGUUCAAGACCAUCCUGGCCAACAUGAUGAUACUCCAUCUCUACUAAAAAUACAAAAAUUAACCAGGCGUUGUGGCAGACCAUGGUUGCCCAUUGCUCUGUCUCUUGCACCUGGAGAGCUGUAGGAGCAAGGUUAAGCCUCAGAAUAUCACAUCAGAUUCAUAAUAUAAAAGCAGAGUAUGGGGGCAAAGGUGACCAAUUAGAAGCAGCUGCAGUGCAUGGUACUCACUGAGAAGAAAGAAAGGGGAGAGUGAAUACAGCACCUUCAGCUGAAAUAUUCAGGUACUCACACUGGAAAAAAUCAGGGAAACUACUCAACUCACUGUGAACAAAGGAAAGCAAGGUGGACUAUUGCCCACCAGGGAACAAAAUGGAAUCAAGAAAACCUCCAGCCCCAGCCAUGGGAAGUGGUGAGUGAAUGUGUGACCUGGGGGAAAUCUAUGCUUCUCCCCCAGAUGUUUGCAACCCUUGAAUCAGG